GCCGCAGGAAGGCAGCAGCCCAUGUCAUCGGCGAGCCUGUAAACAGCCUCCAAGAAGAGCUAGGUCCCUGCUUGUCUUGGCCCUGGCCAUAGGCCCAGCCCAGGGAUUUGGGUCAAAGCUCUUAAUCCUGCCCAGAACUUGGGGGCCCUGGGCCCCUCCUCCCUGGCUUUCUGCGAUCUGACCUCUGCUCGCCUCUCUGCUCCUCCUCCUUCUUGCCAGGCCAGAGUCUGGCCUCACCAAGAUAAUACUUCCUUAUGGUUCAAAUUUCAGCUCAAAUAUCACCCCCCGUGGGAAGCCUUCUCUGUUCCCGGGUGAACUCAGGCCCUCCUGUGGCCCAUUCCUCUUCUGGUAAAAGCCCUCGCACCCCUGGAGCUGCGUCACAGGGUGCUCACGUGUUUGCUCAGUCUGUCUGCCCUUGUCCUGAGGCCAGGGACUGGGGCGGCGGCUCUGCUACCACAGACGCACCAUUGGAGGAACAGACCAAUGAAUGAAUAAAGCUUUCUGAAGGUACCAGGUAAAUGUCACAGGCACAGGUUGCUGAACGUCCUGUCACAGCAGUAUCACGUCAGGUCUAGGCAUUCCUCAGCCUCAGAUCCUGCACUAUCUCCGCAUCGCACUUUGGAAAAAGCUGACUCCACCCUGGGCCCCAGGGCCACCCGCAGUGAUUAAACUGCUGCCCACCCUUCACUCAUCAUCUUUCCUUCUCCAUCCUGCCACCUGGAAGGCAGAUGAGAAGGCUGGCACUGUGGCCUCCGUAUUGGAUCAUGAGAAGGAGGGCCACACUCUAGGGAUGGCAGAAUCAUGAACCGGAAGGAGCCUGGGACACUGAGAACUUUGUGGAGUCUCCAAACCAGCCUUGAGCUGCCCACAUCUAGAC